GGUUGAUCCUGCCGGAGGUUACUGCUAUCGGAGUUCGAGUAAGCCAUGCGAGUCUAAAGGUUUCUUCGGAAGCCUUGGCGGACUGCUCAGUAACACGUGGAUAACCUACCCUUAGGACUGGAAUAACCCCGGGAAACUGGGGAUAAUACCGGAUAGAUCAGGGAUGCUGGAAUGCACCCUGAUCCAAAGCUCCGGCGCCUAAGGAUGGGUCUGCGGCCUAUCAGGUUGUAGUGGGUGUAACGUACCUACUAGCCGACGACGGGUACGGGUUGUGAGAGCAAGAGCCCGGAGAUGGAUUCUGAGACACGAAUCCAGGCCCUACGGGGUGCAGCAGGCGCGGAACCUUUACAAUGUGCGAAAGCAUGAUAAGGGGACUCCGAGUGCCAGCAUCUAAUGCUGGCUGUCCUUGUGCCUAAAAAGCACAAGAUAGCAAGGGCCGGGUAAGACCGGUGCCAGCCGCCGCGGUAACACCGGCGGCCCGAGUGGUAGCCGCUAUUAUUGGGUCUAAAGGGUCCGUAGCCGGUUCAGUAAGUCCUUUGGGAAAUCUGGUUGCUUAACAAUCAGACCGCCAAGGGAUACUGUUGAACUUGAGACCGGGAGAGGUAAGAGGUACUUCAGGGGUAGGAGUGAAAUCUUGUGAUCCCUGGGGGACCAUCUGUGGCGAAGGCGUCUUACCAGAAC
rnacentral:rRNA from 1 species